GUAACCUGGCUGGGACAGCUGUCAUCUAGGUGAUUUCCAGGGUUGAUUUAUUGACCUGGUUGGCUAGGCAGGUGUCCCUGUCCUC
rnacentral:sRNA from 14 species